rnacentral:rRNA from 1 species
AUUGAACGCUGGCGGCAUGCUUUACACAUGCAAGUCGAACGGCAGCGCGGGCUUCGGCCUGGCGGCGAGUGGCGAACGGGUGAGUAAUACAUCGGAACGUGCCCAGUAGUGGGGGAUAGCUCGGCGAAAGCCGGAUUAAUACCGCAUACGACCUGAGGGUGAAAGCGGGGGAUCUUCGGACCUCGCGCUAUUGGAGCGGCCGAGGGCAGAUUAGCUAGUUGGUGGGGUAAAGGCCUACCAAGGCGACGAUCUGUAGCUGGUCUGAGAGGAGGACAAGCCAACUGGGGAGUGAGACGCGGCCAAUGCGCCUGCGGGAGGGAGCAGUGGGGUAUUUUGGACAGUGGGCGGGAGUCUUGCCCAGUGGGGCGGCGUGUGAUGUAGAGGCCUUGGGGUUGUAAAGAAGUUUUGGGGGGAACAAAAAGGAUUGGCCCAAUACCACGGUUGAAUGACGGUACCCGGAGAAUAAGCACCGGCUAACUACGUG